CUACCUACCUUCCCGUUGGUCGUCGUCCGUUCCGUCCCCUACCCGAACCGUACCGGUCCCGGGCCCGGUCCGGUACCGGGACCGACGGAAGGGAACGGUUAACCGUUUCCGGUUGGUUACGGUCGGGUACGGUUAAGUAAAGUCGGUACGGUAAGGAGUACGUACGGAAAAGGGAAAACGAAACGUACGGGUUCCGGGGUACGGGAACGGGAACGGGCCGUCCUUCGUCGUCGGUACCGAACCUUAACUUAACGUACGAACCUACGUACGGGAAACGGGAAACGAAACGGUACGGGGUAAGGGGACGAACGGUAAGGGUUAGGGUUAAGUUAACGUAACCCUAACCCGGUAGGUUACCGUACCGUAACCGGUAAACCCGUAAAGUAGGUAGUAACGUUAACGGUUGGUUUGUUCGUUCGUUAGUUACCGACCCGGAACCCGAGUCGGUCGUACGUACGUACCGUAACGGUUAAGUUAACGUCCCUCCCGGCGGGUAGGGUACGACGCACGAGUAGUAGAACUAACAAGAAGUAGUCGGCGGGCCCGCACAAGCGGUGGAGUAUGUGGUUUAAUUCGAUGCAACGCGAAGAACC
rnacentral:rRNA from 1 species